GACAAUUGACACUAUAAAAUGUCCAGGGAGGUUGAAAUAAAAACAGUACGAGUGUUUAAGUAAGACAGUGUACCGGGAGCUCUCGGGACUAUACCUUUUAAAUAAAUAAAAAAAAACUUACAAUAAAAUGUUUGCCAAACUGAUGAUCUUAUUCGCCGUGCUAGCCCUGGCUCUGGCAAGGCCUCAGCUGUACUCACCCUACGGUAGCUACGGUAGCUACGGGGGCUACGCGUCCUCCUACCCCGGCUACUACGGGUACUCCGGCUACUCCAACCCCGUCGGCUACAGCUCCUACAACAACUACGGAGUCUCCCCCUUCAGCUACGGCUACGGUUACUACUGAACAUAAUAUAAUGCCCCCAAUGUCUACGCCUAAAUAUGUGAUGUACCUUUAUGUUAAUUUCAUGCAAUAUAUUACUUAAUUAUGUUAUGAUUAAAA